UUUAGAAGAUAAUGAUAAGCUCCAAUUAUAUAUAGCUAUAUCUCGCUUUAAUGGCCACUAACAUCAUAGUCUUUACGGGUUUCUUUGGAAAUACCCUAGGCAGAUGAUACCAGAUCAAGGAACCCAAUAAAUUUUCAUCCUGUGGCCUGCAAGUGACUAGGAAGACUUCAUAAAAUAAAGGCUUUAAUGUAGUAGAUGAUGGUGUAAUGAUGGAACCUGGAUCACAUAGAACACUAUUUUGGGCAAUGAGAAUGAUUUAAGCAUGGGCAUUAAUUACAUUGUGACCUAAUCAACGUUGCUAAUAUUUAUGAAGCAGUGGAAAAAAAUUCCUUUUGACUAGAAAGAGUCCCCACCUUUUGUGCCUGUUGUUCAUUUUGGUUGUCAUAUUUUUAAUGCAUUUAUUGUUGGCACAGGAACCUUCAGAAG
rnacentral:misc_RNA from 1 species